rnacentral:lncRNA from 1 species
CCAGGUCCCCUCACCAGGUGACUUCACCUGCCUGUGUAGCCCUGUCCAUGGUGCUGAUCCUUACAGCAUUACUUAGCCUGAUGUAGUAGUCAGUGUACAGUAAAUUAUGUCGAGCUAUUAUCUUGAUUAUGGAAAACAUCACAUUCUGCAGUGAGGAGGCAGACAAUAAUAUUACGCUGUUUUGCUUAAGGUGAGGGCUUUUCUUUGAUGUUGAUAUAAAUAGGUGCCAAAACCUACAAUGUUAACAAAGCAGUAAACUGGACAAAAAGAAGAGCAACAUAAACUGGUUUGAAAGUCAGCAGUAGUCUAACCCAGCAUUUCUUAAAGUAUGGGUCGCGACCCAAAGUGCGUCGCGGACCUGGUAAUAGUGGGUAUCGACGUGUCAGAGUAAAUGUAUAAAUAUUUAACUAAUUACUGGAAUUGAUUUGGUCAAGUGCAACUGCUCACUGUUUAGCAGCGGUGUCUCAGCUGUUUGGCAGCUGCUCGAAUGGGAGGAAGAUGUGUACUUCGUCGUUUUCGUGAAGAUCACUCAGCGACCCACACGCUGCAGCUCUGUUGUUCAGCAGCAGAUGAUGUGCUGUCAGCCACUGACUUGUCAUUCCCACUCGCCAUCACUUACCAUUGUCAUCAAAUGUACUCAAACUAGCCACAAGUUCUGACUGAGCUCAAUCGUCAUGAAACGCAAAUACAGCGAUGAGUUUCUCACUCUUGGUUUUGUACAAACUUUGAGAAAUAACGAGGAUCGCCCGCAAUGUGUUUUGUGCAGGGAAGUGCUUAGUAUUGAUUCUCUCAAAACGAACAAAUGAAAACGACACGUCCUGACCAAACAUCCACAGUAUGACGGUAAACCCAGGGAGUUCUUUCAGAACAGGGAAGAAUGCUUCAGGAAACAGUGCUUCGACAGCGGAAGAGUCCAUCCAGCCUGCAGUCAGAACCGGGUCCAAGCUCCACUGCCAGAGUCAGAUCCACAAGGACUGGUGACCUCCAGCCUGCAGUCAGAACCGGGUCCAGCCUCCACCACCACAGCCAGCCCACAGGGACUAGUGUCCUUUCCUCUGUAAUUAAUCUAUCUGCUGAGCCUCAUCUCUCUCUCUCUCUCUCUCUUAACCUACUCACAUAUCUGUAGAAAUAACAAACCCUGCACGGUCUCUCCUUAAACAUCUCCCCAUAAUUGCCAGUGAUAUUCGUGUUCACUCCAUUAAGUUGACCACACCGAGUGGGACGCCAGAGAGGGAAGAUGGAUCAGCUGCUAGCGUUGAGAAAAGACAGGGGCCUUGUCUUCAAAGAGGCAGGCAGAGCUUGGAGGAUAAAGUCCCCUCGGGCCUCGCCGACUAACAAUGUCAGGCUCUUGUGUUGGAUGACAGCAGUUUUCCACCUCAAAUUCAUUCAACCAAAUGACCUCAAUAGUCUCAAAACGUGGCGUUCCGAGGAGAAACUCAGACAUCAUAUCUGGGUGUUUGAUAGCGGCCAGUCUGGCAGUCGGUCGGGGGAGAGAGGAGAGGAUGUGGGGUUUAGAUUAGAGCGAGGCGAAGAUGAAGACAGGCUUUUAUAACCAGUCUGGAUGUGAGCCGGGGCCAGAGCUCCUGAAGUAAGCUGUUAAAGAAGCCUUUUAAAAGCACAGGGCUUUGAUGCUGGGAGAGGCUAAUCAUUUUGGUUGGCUAUGUAUCGCUUUAGCAGAACUCUAAAGAAGUCCCAGACAGACUGCCCAAGAAAAAGACCCUCAGAUCUGGCAUGGCUCAGAGUACCUACUGCAUUGGACACAAAGAGACACCUCAACCUAGUCAGUCACCAAUCAGUCAUAUGGCAUAGUACCUGUAUGGUUAGUAGAUCUUGGUAGACUAGAAUCUACUCUAUGGUUAGUAGAUCUUGGUAGAAUAUAAUCUACACUAUACCUGUAUGGUUUGUAGAUCUUGGUAGACUAGAAUCUACUCUAUGCCUGUAUGGUUUGUAGAUCUUGGUAGACUAGAAUCUACUCUAUGCCUGUAUGGUUAGUAGAUCUUAGUAGACUAGAAUCUACUCUAUGCCUGUAUGGUUAGUAGAUCUUGGUAGACUAGAAUCUACUCUAAACCUGUAUGGUUUGUAAAUCUUGGUAGACUAGAAUCUACUCUAUGGUUUAUAGAUCUUGGUAGAAUAGACUCUACCAUAUCUGCAUGGUUUGUAGAUCUUGGUAGAAUAGACUCUACCAUAUCUGUGUAGAGCAGUAGGAAGAUGUCUAGUCUCUAUCGACAGCAGCCUGUGCUUAUAAUGGCUCACUGGGAUCUCAGACAGCUCUACCAUACAUCAACACCUUAUUGGCCACCGAACCCCAACAAACCUCUAGCAUGUUUUCACAGCUUGGAAGCCAGAGGUGAGGGGAGGUCUGGGAAGAGCUGGGAUCCCCACGGUAUGCUUUCCCCCUUUUACUUUGGAACACACACACACACACACACACUCACGCACGCACACACACACUCACACACACACACUUGUGGAAUUCACACAAACACAUUUUUGGAAUUCACUCACACACAAAUUAUUUAUGAAAUUAUUUUAUAAAGCCUUUUUUUACAUCAGCAGAUGUCACAAAGUGCUAUACAGAAACCCAGCCUUAAACCCCAAACAGCAAUGCAGAUGUUGAAGCACAUGCAUGUACACACACUUUGGAAUUCACACACAUACCGACUGUCAUGCAUGCUGUCACGCACACACACAUUUUGAAUUUCACACAUGCACACACACACACACACACACACACACACUGAAAGGCUUUCCCCUAGGGGUGUUUGAAGCUGCCUCUCCAGCCCAUGUUUAUUAUUCCUGAGUGAUUCUCUCCACAGAGACAAUAGAUUUGAAGGGGCACAUGACCCUCUUCCUCGAAAUCUUUGUUUAUAUGUUUUCCCCAACAAAGUAAACAUGCCUUGAGAAAACAAGGCAGAUCGGGUUAGGGCUACACGUUACAUCAUGGACACACAGCGAGGCAGUAUAGUCACUAUUUGUGCCUUCUGACAAUUGUGAGGAGUUAACAAUGAACCAUUCUUGCACCUGCUCUAAACUUGCUUGGUAACAUUGGAAACAUUCAUAUUUUCGACCAUAGCAUGUGAUGAAUGGGAAUGUGAAUGUGGUGAGUUUCCAACAUGAUCAAAAGUAGUGCACUACAUAGGGAAUAGGGUGCCAUUUGGGAAACAUUCUAAGAGAACAAGGGCCUCUCGACCACUGAACCAUCCUGCUCAGCCUUCUGCUACCCAUGAAGCACUCUGCCUGCCACCAGGCAGACCCCACACACCUUGCCAUCCUCCCAUCCUCUGGCUCCUGCAGGAGGCCAAGGCACUGACCCACGGAGGGAAACAGACUCACUACAGAUAACUAUUUUAGACCACAACAGGAGCUACUGAUGUUUUACUGUGCGAUGACUGAAAACCUUAUUUGAGUGAAGUAGCUAGAUGUUUCUGUAGCAGUCACUUCAGGGCAGGAAAUCAUUACAUCAAUAUUGGUUAUGAUGUCAUGUAAUAGCAGGCUGUAGCCAUAGCAACAUAACCUAUAGCUAUCGUACCAUAAAGCCUUACAUUUAAGAACUACAUAUUUCAUUUGUUGUCUAGUACUGUGAGGUGAGGACUCAGAGUAUCUCAAUGUGAGCUCUGUGAGAGGAGAGAAGGUCACACAGAGUGUCUGCAGCUGCAGUCCAGGAUGAAUGGUGGACAGGGGGAUAAAGAUGGGUAGGGGGAUGCAUGGGGGGGGCAGGGGGUGCUCUUGGCCAAAAACAAGAGAGGGACCGAGGCCGACCCACCACUCAGAGACAUGAUGGUGUCCCACCUAACCUGUAGUUCUGCUCCUACAAGAAGAGAGAGACAGACACACAGACACACAGACAGACAGACAGACAGACAGACAGACAGACAGACAUGGACAGACAUGGACAGACAGACUAUUUGCACACAGUGAACUAUUUAGACAUAAUAUGACAUUUGAAAUGUUACUUUUGUGAGUGUAAUGUUUAAUGUUAAUUUGUAUUGUUUAUUUCACUUUUGUUAUCUACCUCACAUGCUAUGGCAAUGUUAACAUAUGUUUCCCAUGCCAAUAAAGCCCUUCCAUUGAAUUGAAUUGACAGACAGUCAGCAGAUAGACACACACAAAGAGAGAGAGAAUUCCUCCCUGGUUUCUCAGGUCAACGUGAUAAGUAUUGUGAAUUAUGUGGAGUUAAGUGAGAGGAGUCAUCCUCCUGUAUAUCUGAGGAGGGUGAGGUGGC